AAAUAAAAAAGGAAAGAGAAACCUACGGCAAGGGUACAUCAAUCCCUCUUCAUCCGACUGGAGCCAAUUCGACGGCGACCGUCUCCGAGUCCCAUUUUCAUGGAUGAAACUCAAAUGGGUAUUUCAAAAACUGAGCUCCAAGCUUCCCUCUUGGGCCACUUCUCGAAUCUCCCCAUUCAGAAACCAAUUCCAUCAAAACCCAUUUGCAGAAACCUCCUCAACAUUCGUCCUCAACCAUGUAGACCCAAGCUUCCUUCUGUCCGUUUGUGGAAGAGACGGCCACCUCUAUUUGGGCUCUUCCCUCCAUGCCUCCAUCAUCAAGAGCUUCGAGCUCUCCAACCAUGAAAAUGGGGUCGUCAUAAUGAACUCUCUCAUCUCCAUGUACGAGAGGUGUGGUAAAUUGCCGGAUGCUGUCAAGGUGUUUGAUGAAAUGCCCACGAGAGAUACUGUUUCGUGGAACGCAUUGAUUGGUGGGUUUAUGAGAAAUGGGGAGUUCUGUGCUGGUUUUAGCUAUUUUAAGGCUAUGUGUUUAGUUGGUGAUUGUAAAUUUGAUAAAGCUACUUUGACGACGAUUUUAUCUGCUUGUGAUGGCUUGGAGAUGUGUUGCAUCAUUAAAAUGAUGCACGGUUUGACGUUUUUGAGUGGAUAUAAACAAGAAAUUACUGUGGGAAAUGCUCUGAUUAGUUCGUAUUUUAAAUGUGGAUGUGUUGGUUUUGGGAAGCAAGUUUUUUAUGAGAUGGAGGAGAGAAAUGUGAUUACUUGGACGGCUGUGAUCUCUGGUUUGGCUCAAAAUGGGUAUCAUGAGCACAGCCUGGAGCUGUUUAGGGAAAUGCUGAGUUGUGGCUCUGUGGAGCCAAAUUCUUUAACUUAUUUGAGCUUACUCACCGCUUGUUCUGGCUUGGAGGCAUUAGAGGAAGGAUGUCAAAUUCAUGGUCUUAUUUUGAAGUUGGGAAUUCAGUCAGAUUUGUGCAUUGGGAGUGCUCUGAUGGAUAUGUACUCAAAAUGUGGAAGCAUUGGAGAUGCUUGGAAGAUUUUUGAGUCGGCUGAGGAACUCGAUAUGGUUUCGUUGACUGUUAUCCUUGCAGGGUUCACACAGAAUGGAUGUGAGGAAGAAGCCAUCCAAAUCUUUCUGAAAAUGUUGAAAAUGGGGAUUGAGAUUGACGAAAAUGUUGUUUCAGCUGUUCUUGGAGUGUUUGGUGCUGAUACAUCUUUGAGGCUGGGUCAACAAGUUCAUUCGUUUAUUGUCAAAAAGAACUUUAGUUGCAAUCCUUUUGUGAGCAAUGGACUUAUAAACAUGUACUCCAAGUGUGGAGCACUGGAUGAAUCAGUGAAGGUCUUUGAUAGGAUGCAAAAUAGGAACUCUGUCACAUGGAACUCCAUGAUUGCAGCGUUUGCUCGACAUGGAGACGGCUUGAAAGCUCUACAUCUUUAUGAGAAUAUGAAACUGGAAGGUGCAAAGCCAACAGACAUCACGUUUCUAUCAUUACUCCAUGCUUGUAGUCAUGUUGGGUUAGUAAAUAAAGGUAUGGAGUUCCUUGAAUCAAUGACAAAAGAUCACAGGAUGAAUCCUAGGAGCGAACACUAUGCUUGUGUUGUCGACAUGUUGGGUAGAGCAGGACUGCUGUCUGAAGCUAGAACCUUCAUUGAGAAACUGCCUGAACAGCCAGGAUUACUCGUGUGGCAGGCAUUGCUCGGCGCCUGCAGCCUCUACGGUGAUUCUGAAAUGGGGAAAUAUGCAGCCGAACAUCUGUUUUCGGAAACACCGAAUAGCUCAGUCCCUUAUGUUCUGUUAGCCAACAUAUAUUCUUCUGAGGGGAAUUGGAAGGAAAGAGCAAGGACAAUCAGGAAGAUGAAGGAGACGGGAAUGGCCAAAGAAACUGGCAUCAGUUGGAUAGAGAUUGACAAGAAAGUCCAUAGUUUUACUGUUGGAGACAAAAGGCAUCCACAAGCUGAUAUCAUUUAUGGAGUUUUGAUGGAUCUGUUUGUACACAUGGUAGAUGAAGGAUAUGUACCAGAUAAGAAAUUCAUCCUCUUCUACUUGGAUCCUGAUGACAAGAAGGAACCGAUCGAUAACGAUAACGGUCGUGUUAACGAUCCAAACUUAUUCCCCUCUCUGGUAUGAAUACUAGACAUGAGCUGUUAUUAUAAUGACGUCCUUCCCACUUGUGAAGGCUACCCAUAUUAUUGCGUAGAUAGGCUCCCCAUGUUCACUUUUGCUUCUUCCACCAGGCCAGACAGGGCCACUUACUCAAGGUAACUGACCUCGAGGUCUCCAGCAUCCGGACGACUUAUUAAUUCUUUGGCAAGCAAAUAUCUGCCUGGCCUAUCUUUAUCAUCAAAGAACACUUUCCACAACCUGGUUAACAAUUGCAAAGAUGUCAAUCACUUCUUCAAAAAAGAAACCCC